rfam:Egretta garzetta contig100254, whole genome shotgun sequence.
UGGCGGUGAUGACUAUCUUAGGACACCUUUGGAACAUCUGUGAAAUAAUAAUUCUUUUUCUGAGCCAU